UAAAUAAACAUGUAAAUACAUGUAAAUAUUUUCAUAAUAUAUACUGUAUGUAUGUGUAUUUAUAUAUACAUAAUAAAUAUACACAAAACACACACACAUAUUAUGCAAACAAAGACUUUUAUUUUGUAUGCGAUUAAUCACUAUUAAUCAUUUGACAACACUAGAAAAUAAGUAUAUUGCAUUAGACAUAUGUUCAAAAUUAUAGGUUUUUGAAUAACAGUUAUAAUAGCUUAUAUCUUGUAUAAACAGCCCUGCAAUAAGGAUAGACACAAAUGUUUUAAAUUUGAUUCUUUUUUUUUUUUCUUUUUUCUUUUUUUCAUGUGUUAUGUAUUUUAAAAGCCUUGUCUAGAUUGUAAAUUAAGGUUUUGGUAAUUGAAACGUAAGCUACAUGACAUUUGACUUUCUCUGUAAAGAUUUAUUCAUAUAUUCAUUUUUAUUAUUUUACAGUGUUGUUUUAAUGUGUUUCUGUAUUUUUCAUGUUUAUAAUAUUCUGGAAUGACUGAAGAUCAGCCCAGAAUUCAACAAUCUUGUGGAUGCACUGCAGCAAGUCCUUUUGCAGCUGUAUCCAUCAAAGUGCUAUGCAGACAUAAUGGGAAAGACUUUCACAUUGUAGAGAUUGGACAGAGUUGUAACACACAGGUUCUGAGCAGGAAUUCAUCAAGGACUUGACUGUUGGAAUUAUAAUUGUGGUUGACAAAAGUGAGCACCAUCAGUCUAUAAUGAUGUGGUCCCGGUAAUAGAAGAAGAAAUCUUGGUGAUCUCGGGUUUUGAACUGCAUUAGACUAUCCGACUUUUCACAGCACUUGAAGGCAAAGUUUGAAUUUCAUGUUUGCUUAGUAUUUUAAUGUUUUCAUUUAAGGAGUUUUUUUUUUUUUUUUUUUUUUUUUUUUACAUGCAUUUCAGACAGUGCAGUGUUAAUUUGUGAAUGUUUUUAUAAACAUGAAUGUUUAAAUUAUGGUUUAUUUGUGCUCUCUGUUAUGCCAGGAUAAUUGGUUAACAAAACGCUUUUGUCAUAUUAACUUGUGUUGAAGUUUAUUUAACUCAUAAUUUUAAGACAGCCAUGUAAACUUUUUAGGUAACUGUUAUAACAAACUAUAUGUAGUUGAGUGAAAUUAAAUUUGAAAGUUUACUUAAUCCUCUUGAUUGCUUGAAUAAGUUGAUACAAUAUUUAAUCCAAAGUUAUGACUACAAAAUAACAUUAUUUUAUUUAUUUAUUUAUUUACAAAAUAUAAAUUGAAACAACAAAAUCACUAUCUGAAAUUCUAACUGAAAUCGCUAACUGAAAUUCAAUGAGAUCAAAAUUUUAAGGCAACAAGGUUACUUACUUUUUUAAGUUAAACCAACAAAUAAUUUUUUAUUCUUAUUUAUUUAUUUAUUUAUUUUCAGUGUUGCAGUAUCUUGGACAAUUUCUUUAUGAUGAGAAGAUGCCAAAAUCUCUAAUUAAAAGCCAGAUCUCAAUAUAAACUCAAACAUUUCUUAUCAAGUCGUCCAAGAUCAGAUGUUCGGCUUUAAUUGCAGACUAUGGUAUUUUCUUGUCAGAAAUAAAUGUCUUUAUUAUCUUUUUUCCUCCUAUAUA
ensembl:lncRNA